rnacentral:rRNA from 1 species
ACCUCAAAUCAGGUAGGACUACCCGCUGAACUUAAGCAUAUCAAUAAGCGGAGGAAAAGAAACUAACAAGGAUUCCCCUAGUAACUGCGAGUGAAGAGGGAAGAGCUCAAAUUUAAAAUCUGUCAGUCUUUGGCUGACUGAGUUGUAAAUUAGAGAAGUGCUAUCAGUGCUGGCCUGUGUAAAAGUCUCUUGGAAAAGAGCAUCAUAGAGGGUGACAAUCCCGUCUUUGGUACAGAUCUCCAGUGCUUCCAUGAUGCGCUCUCGAUGAGUCGAGUUGUUUGGGAAUGCAGCUCUAAAUGGGUGGUAAAUUCCAUCUAAAGCUAAAUAUUGGCGAGAAACCGAUAGCGCACAAGUACCGUGAGGGAAAGAUGAAAAGAACUUUGAAAAGAGAGUUAAACAGUACGUGAAAUUGUUGAAAGGGAAACACUUGAAGUCAGUCGCGUCCUUCAGAAAUCAACCUGACUUUGGUCUGGCUUACUUUCUGUUGGAUGGGUCAGCAUCAAUUUUGAUCGUUGGAUAAAGGCCUUGGGAAAGUGGCAUCUCCGGAUGUGUUAUAGCCCUUGGAUCACAUACAAUGGUUGGGAUUGAGGAACUCAGUGUGAAUUUGGAGCCUUGCUCACAC